UGGGGAAUAUUGGACAAUGGGCGAAAGCCUGAUCCAGCCAUGCCGCGUGUGUGAAGAAGGUCUUCGGAUUGUAAAGCACUUUAAGUUGGGAGGAAGGGCAGUAAGCGAAUACCUUGCUGUUUUGACGUUACCGACAGAAUAAGCACCGGCUAACUCUGUGCCAGCAGCCGCGGUAAUACAGAGGGUGCAAGCGUUAAUCGGAAUUACUGGGCGUAAAGCGCGCGUAGGUGGUUCGUUAAGUUGAAUGUGAAAGCCCCGGGCUCAACCUGGGAACUGCAUCCAACACUGGCGGGCUAGAGUAGGGGAGAGGGUGGUGGAAUUUCCUGUGUAGCGAUGAAAUGCGUAGAUAUAGGAAGGAACACCAGUGGCGAAGGCGACCACCUUGGCUCAUACUGACACUGAGGUGCGAAAGCGUGGGGAGCAAACGGG
rnacentral:rRNA from 1 species